rnacentral:rRNA from 1 species
UUGACCUCAAAUCGGGUGAGACUACCCGCUGAACUUAAGCAUAUCAAUAAGCGGAGGAAAAGAAACUAACAAGGAUUCCCCUAGUAACUGCGAGUGAAGCGGGAAAAGCUCAAAUUUAAAAUCUGGUGGUCUUUGGCCAUCCGAGUUGUAAUUUAGAGAAGCGUCUUCCGCGCUGGACCGUGCACAAGUCUCCUGGAAUGGAGCGUCAUAGAGGGUGAGAAUCCCGUCUUUGGCACGGACACACCAGGGCUUUUGUGAUGCGCUCUCAAAGAGUCGAGUUGUUUGGGAAUGCAGCUCAAAAUGGGUGGUGAACUCCAUCUAAAGCUAAAUAUUGGCGAGAGACCGAUAGCGAACAAGUACCGUGAGGGAAAGAUGAAAAGCACUUUGGAAAGAGAGUGAAACAGUACGUGAAAUUGUUGAAAGGGAAACGCUUGAAGUCAGUCGCGUCGACCGAGACUCAGCCUUGCCUCGGCUUGGUGUACUUCUCGGCCUGACGGGUCAGCAUCAAUUUUGCCCCUUGGAUAAUGGCGAGGGAAAUGUGACACCUUUACGGUGUGUUAUAGUCCCUUGUAGCAUGCAAGGGUUGGGAUUGAGGAACUCAGCACGCGCCUUUGGGUGUCGGGGCUUUGCCCACGAUACGUGCUUAGGAUGUGCG